rnacentral:rRNA from 1 species
CGUGGGCAACCUGGCUCAUAGAGGGGCAAUAGCCUUCCGAAAGGGAGAUUAAUACCGCAUAAGAUUGUAGUACCGCAUGGUACAGCAAUUAAAGGAGCAAUCCGCUAUGAANUGGGCCCGCGGCGCAUUACCUAGUUGGNGAGGUAACGGCUCACCAAGGCGACGAUGCGUAGCCGACCUGAGAGGGUGAUCGGCCACAUUGGGACUGAGACACGGCCCAGACUCCUACGGGAGGCAGCAGUGGGGAAUAUUGCACAAUGGGGGAAACCCUGAUGCAGCAACGCCGCGUGAGUGAUGACGGCCUACGGGUUGUAAAGCUCUGUCUUCAGGGACGAUAAUGACGGUACCUGAGGAGGAAGCCACGGCUAACUACGUGCCAGCAGCCGCGGUAAUACGUAGGUGGCGAGCGUUGUCCGGAUUUACUG